GAGGUGUGAGGAUUGCUUGAGCCCAGGAGGUUGAGGCUGCAGUGAGCUAUGAUUGGACCACUGCACUCCAGCCUGAGUGACAGAGAAAGACCCUGUCUC
ensembl:miRNA